rnacentral:rRNA from 1 species
CCUACGGGGGGCAGCAGUGGGGAAUAUUGCACAAUGGGGGAAACCCUGAUGCAGCGACGCCGCGUGAGUGAAGAAGUACCUCGGUAUGUUAAGCCCUAUCAGCAGGGAAGAAAAUGACGGUACCUGAUUAAGAAGCCCAGUCUAACUACGUGCCAGAUGCCGCGGUAAUACGGAGGGGGCAAGGGUAAUCCGGAUUUAGGGGGUGUAAAGGGAGCGUAGACGGCAGCAGAGGUCUGGAGGGAAAUGCGGGGGCUUAACCCCGGAACGGCCGUGGAAACUGUGCAGCUAGAGUGAAGGAGAGGUAAGUGGAAUGCCUGGUGUAGCGGUGAAAUGCGUAGAUAUUAGGAAGAACACCAGUGGCGAAGGCGGCUUACUGGACUGUAACUGACGUUGAGGCACGAAAGCGUGGGGAGCAAACAGGAUUAGAUACCCCUGUAGUC